AUGAACGCUGGCGGCGUGCCUCAUCCAUGCAAGUCGAGCGAACAGACGAGGAGCUUGCUCCUCUGACGUUAGCGGCGGACGGGUGAGUAACACGUGGAUAACCUACCUAUAAGUCUGGGAUAACUUCGGGAAACCGGAGCUAAUACCGGAUAAUAUAUUGAACCGCAUGGUUCAAUAGUGAAUGACGGUUUUGCUGUCACUUAUAGAUGGAUCCGCGCCGCAUUAGCUAGUUGGUAAGGUAACGGCUUACCAAGGCAACGAUGCGUAGCCGACCUGAGAGGGUGAUCAGCCACACUGGAACUGAGACACGGUCCAGACUCCUACGGGAGGCAGCAGUAGGGAAUCUUCCGCAAUGGGCGAAAGCCUGACGGAGCAACGCCGCGUGAGUGAUGAAGGUCUUCGGAUCGUAAAACCCUGUUAUUAGGGAAGAACAAAUGUGUAAGUAACUAUGCACGUCUUGACGGUACCUAAACAGAAAGCCACGGCUAACUACGUG
rnacentral:rRNA from 1 species